CUGCCACAGGACUGCGGGAUUGGUGUCACAAAUCUGCAGAGCCCAGUGCAAAGUGGAAUUGCAAGACCCCUCACUAGAAAAGGGCAGAAAUAAGAAUCAGAGAAAAAGGAGACAGAGCUUCUCAAGAUGAGAAUAAUGGCCAUCUAAGAUUUUGAUGGGGUAUAUGUGCAAUUAAGCCACAUGUCGCUCAUCAACCAGUAG